rnacentral:rRNA from 1 species
UACGGAGGGUGCAAGCGUUAAUCGGAAUUACUGGGCGUAAAGCGCGCGUAGGCGGUUUUUUAAGUCGGAUGUGAAAGCCCCGGGCUCAACCUGGGAACUGCAUCCGAUACUGGAAGACUAGAAUGCGGGAGAGGGAGGUAGAAUUCCAUGUGUAGCAGUGAAAUGCGUAGAUGUAUGGAGGAAUACCAGUGGCGAAGGCGGCCUCCUGGCUCGACAUUGACGCUGAGGUGCGAAAGCGUGGGGAGCAAACGGG